rnacentral:rRNA from 1 species
UACGUAGGUGGCAAGCGUUGUCCGGAAUUAUUGGGCGUAAAGCGCGCGCAGGCGGUUCUUUAAGUCUGAUGUGAAAGCCCACGGCUCAACCGUGGAGGGUCAUUGGAAACUGGAGAACUUGAGUACAGAAGAGGAAAGCGGAAUUCCACGUGUAGCGGUGAAAUGCGCAGAUAUCAGGAGGAACACCGGUAGCGAAGGCGGGUCUCUGGGCCGUAACUGACGCUGAGGAGCGAAAGCGUGGGGAGCAAACAGG